ACUGUUACAUUUCCAAUUACUUUUCCAAGGUAUAAAAUGCAGCUGGAUAUUACUUAAAAUUAAUUUCAAUAUAAGUCCUUUUUUUCCUCAAUUUUCAAUUUUGUUCUGUGGAGCUACAAUUUUGUUUAAUUACAGCUGAAAUCUCGCACAACUGAAAUGUCGCACUUGAGCUCCCCUAUUAGAUCUGUCACACUUGAGCUCCUCCAUUAGUUAUGUUGGAUAAUUAUAACUUGACGUACUCUAGGGUUUAUUCUCAUUGAUAUUGUUUGGAAUUGAAUAUUGAAGCAUAUCGUUAUGAUUUCCCCAGAAAUUAUUACGAAAUUGGGUUUCUAUCAAAAAUUAGAUUGAGGAACAAUGCGGGGGAUCAAAUUUGAAUGGUGGGUGCCACAACUCAACUUGAUCUAGAUUGAAGUGAAUGAUGAAGAAUUUUUGAAAUAUUUUGAUAUACGUUUAUAUAUAUUUGGUUUUGUGUGAAACUUGGUACAAAUUUUUAUUAUGUUGUUUUCUACUUAGUAUGUAAAAGACAUGUUUCUUUGAAAUCAAAUCUAUGCACUUUAAUUAUUUAUUAGCUAA